UCCUUCUCCACUCCAAAUCAGAUAAACACUACAGAUUGCUACAGAUGAAUGCUACUGACAUGCUAAAGACUAUAUGACAAUUCCUUUUAAAGUCAGACACUCAAUUGUGAAAGAUGUGUGAACAAUCCAAUGAUGGAUGUCCGUUAGUUCAGUGCUGUCAAGCUGAGUUACUACUCCACAUCUCUGAUACUGAUGCUGUUUUUGCAGUCAUGAUUGAGUCGUUGAAGAAAAAAGCACUCUACAGAGUUCUGCCCAACUGUGUCCAAACAAGCAGCAACUUGAAAUAUCAUUGGCUUACUCAGCAGCAUCAGAACCCACAAAGCAAAGAGGUUAGAUCCAUCCAAGAGACUUUUCUGCAGCAGUAAAUGGAUUUGCCCUCUUUAGAGCAGGGAGCACAGCUCCAACACAAUUAUUCUUAUUGGAACAGACUAAGGAAUUUACUUCAAAUGAGGUUGUUGGUUGUCCUGUGAAAGCUGUGUCAGAAUAAAUAUUCAACUGCUCUUUGGAGGCA
rnacentral:lncRNA from 10 species